GACGAACGCUGGCGGCGUGCCUAAUACAUGCAAGUCGAGCGAAGCGGCGGAUGGGUGAGUAACGUGUGGGUAACCUGCCCUUAAGUCUGGGAUACCAUUUGGAAACAGAAGCUCAUACCGGAUAUUGAAGGAUGGACCUGCGAUGCAUUAGCUAGUUGGGAAGGGAACGGCGUACCAAGGCGAUGAUGCAUAGCCGGGUUGAGAGACUGAUCGGCCACAUGGGGACUGAGACACGGCCCAGACUCCUACGGGAGGCAGCAGUAGGGAAUCUUCCACAAUGGACGAAAGUCUGAUGGAGCAACGCCGCGUGAGUGAAGAAGGUUUUCGGAUCGUAAAGCUCUGUUGUUGGUGAAGCGGUAAUCAACCAGAAAGUCCCGGCUAACUACGUGCCAGCCGCCGCGGUAAUAC
rnacentral:rRNA from 1 species